GGGGAAUUUUCCGCAAUGGGCGAAAGCCUGACGGAGCAAUACCGCGUGAGGGAUGACGGCCUAUGGGUUGUAAACCUCUUUUUUCAGGGAGGAAUCAAUGACGUGUACCUGAAGAAUAAGCAUCGGCUAACUCCGUGCCAGCAGCCGCGGUAAGACGGAGGAUGCAAGUGUUAUCCGGAAUCACUGGGCGUAAAGCGUCUGUAGGUGGUUUAAUAAGUCAACUGUUAAAUCUUGAGGCUCAACCUCAAAAUCGCAGUCGAAACUAUUAGACUCGAGUAUAGUAGGGGUAAAGGGAAUUUCCAGUGGAGCGGUGAAAUGCGUAGAGAUUGGAAAGAACACCGAUGGCGAAGGCACUUUACUGGGCUAUUACUAACACUGAGAGACGAAAGCUAGGGUAGCAAAUGGGAUUAGAUACCCCAGUAGUC
rnacentral:rRNA from 1 species